rnacentral:rRNA from 1 species
AUUGAACGCUGGCGGCAUGCUUUACACAUGCAAGUCGAACGGCAGCACGGACUUCGGUCUGGUGGCGAGUGGCGAACGGGUGAGUAAUACAUCGGAACGUACCCAGUAAUGGGGGAUAACUAUCCGAAAGGAUAGCUAAUACCGCAUACGCCCUACGGGGGAAAGAGGGGGAUCGCAAGACCUCUUGUUAUUGGAGCGGCCGAUGGCUGAUUAGCUAGUUGGUAGGGUAAAGGCCUACCAAGGCAACGAUCAGUAGCGGGUCUUAGAGGACGAUCCGCCACACUGGAACUGAAACACGGUCCAGACUCCUACGGGAGGCAGCAGUGGGGAAUCUUGGACAAUGGGCGUAAGCCUGAUUUAGCAAUGCCGCGUGCGUGAAGAAGGCCUUCGGGUUGUAAAGCGCUUUUGUCAGGGAGCAAAUCCUUGUGGCUAAUACCCACCGGGGAUGAGAGUACCUGAAGAAUAAGGACCGGCUAACUACGUGCCAGCCGCCGCGGUAAUAC